rnacentral:rRNA from 1 species
UACGUAGGGUGCAAGCGUUGUCCGGAAUUAUUGGGCGUAAAGGGCUCGUAGGCGGUCCAUCGCGUCGGGGAGUGAAAAGCUGGGGCUUAACCCCAGUCCUGCUUCCGAUACGGGUGGACUAGAGGUAGGUAGGGGAGAUCGGAAUUCCACGUGUAGCAGUGAAAUGCGUAGAGAUGUGGAGGAAUACCGAUGGCGAAGGCAGCCUCCUGGGCCAACACUG